UAUUCUGCUGGAACAUGUCCUUACCUAU
rnacentral:sRNA from 1 species